GGGGCUGAAUUUUAAGCUCGACAUUGGACUUUAACAGCUAGUUUGCAGAUCGCUUGUCAGCGUUAUAGGCACAUCUGAAUAGAUGCAAAAGAUUCACUAACUGCAAUGGUAGAUCGCGUGCUAAACACACGUCAGGCUGCUUUUGCGUUUGCUGCCUAAUUUACUGGUAGCUGUGCCAUUAAUUAAUACCAAAUAGGUUAAUGGUAUAUUAUAUUUUUUUGGUUGCUUAAUGUUUAUCGCCCAUAGAUGUUACUAAGACCUAGGGAUAGGCUAUGAAGCUUUUUGGUUGUUUACCGGCCGCAUAGUCAAUUUUUUUUAAACAACCUAUGUCUGUAGACGACUAGUAUAGUUGAACUGAUGGACGCGGGGGCAGCACCCGCCAGCUCCACCA
rnacentral:tmRNA from 1 species